AAUCAACGCUGGCGGCGUGCCUCAGACAUGCAAGUCGAACGCGAAAUUUCCCUUCGGGGAGAAAGUAGAGUGGCGCACGGGUGAGUAACACGUAGGUAAUUUGCCUUUGGGUGGGGAAUAACUCAGGGAAACUUGAGCUAAUACCGCAUAAUGCAGCGGCUCGACAUCGAGACAGUUGUUAAAGCGGGGGAUUGGAGCAAUCCGACCUCGCGCCUAAAGAGAAGCCUGCGGCAGAUUAGCUAGUUGGUAAGGUAAUGGCUUACCAAGGCGACGAUCUGUAACCGGCCUGAGAGGGCGGUCGGUCACACUGACACUGACAUACGGGUCAGACUCCUACGGGAGGCAGCAGUCGGGAAUUUUGGGCAAUGGGCGCAAGCCUGACCCAGCAACGCCGCGUGAAGGAUGUAAAUUUUUCGGAAUGUAAACUUCGCAAGAACAGGAAGAAUAAGUGUGGGACAAUACCCCACAUGAUGACGGUACUGUUUGUAAGCUCCGGCUAACUCCGU
rnacentral:rRNA from 1 species